AGAGUUUGAUCCUGGCUCAGGAUGAACGCUGGCGGCGUGCCUAAUACAUGCAAGUCGAACGAGGUGCUUUUGUAGCAAUACAAGAGUAUCCUAGUGGCGAACGGGUGAGUAACGCGUUGGUGACCUACCCCAAAGUGUGGGAUAACAGUCCGAAAGGAUUGCUAAUACCGCAUGUGGUUAUUGGAUUUAGAAACCGGUAACUAAAGGAGCAAUUCGCUUUGGGAGGGACCUGCGUCCCAUCAGCUAGUUGGUGAGGUAAUGGCUCACCAAGGCGACGACGGGUAGGGGACCUGAGAGGGUGACCCCCCACAAUGGAACUGAAACACGGUCCAUACACCUACGGGUGGCAGCAGUAGGGAAUAUUGCUCAAUGGGCGAAAGCCUGAAGCAGCAACGCCGCGUGUGUGAUGAAGGCCUUCGGGUCGUAAAGCACUUUUCUGGGAGAUGAGAAAGGACAGUAUCCCAGGAAUAAGUCUCGGCUAACUACGUGCCAGCCGCCGCGGUAAUAC
rnacentral:rRNA from 1 species